GAUGAACGCUGGCGGCGUGCUUAACACAUGCCAGUCGAACGGUGAACGAGUAAGCUUGUGCUCUCCCGAUCAGCGGCGAACGGGUGAGUAACACGUGCACACUCUGCCCCUAUCUCGGGGAUAAGCUCUUGAAACGACGUACAAUACCAGAUACGACGCGGUAGGGCAUCCUCCCGGCGUUGAACGAACUUCGGUCGGGGAUGGGCUCGCGGUCUAUCCUCUUGUUGGUGCGGGAACGGCCCCCCAAGGCGCCGACGGGUCGCCGGCCUGAGAGGGUGACCGGCCACACUGGGACUGAGACACGGCCCAGACUCCUACGGGAGGCAGCAGUGGGGAAUAUUGCACAAUGGGCGCAAGCCUGAUGCAGCAACGCCGCGUGAGGGACGACGGCCUUCGGGUUGAAAACCUCUUUUAGCAGGGAAGAAGCGAAAGUGACGGUACCUGCAGAAAAAGCACCGGCUAACUACGUG
rnacentral:rRNA from 1 species